rnacentral:rRNA from 1 species
CGAAUAAAGUUCUAGAUAGAUUCUUGAUAAUGACAAAUUUCUAUCUAUAUGUCUUGACCAAAUCUUGUGCCAGCAGUCGCGGCAAUACAAGGAAGACUAGUGUUAUUCAUCUUUAUUAGGUUUAAAGGGUACCUAGACUGUAUUUCUAGCCUCCAAAAGGAACAGAUUUACUAGAGUUUUAUGUGAGAGGUAGAUAUUAGAACUAUUGGUGUAGAGAUGAAAUUUUUUGAUACUAAUGGUACGGAUAACGGCAAAGGCAAACCUCUAUGUAAAAACUGACGUUGAGGGACGAAGGCUUGGGGAGCAAAUAGGAUUAGAUACCCUAGUAGUCCAGGCAGAGAAUUAUGAAUGUUAUAGACUAAAGAAAUUGGUGUAUAAAUGAAAGUGUAAGCAUUCCACCUCAAGAGUAAUGCGGCAACGCAGGAACUGAAAUCAUUAGACCGUUUCUGAAACCAGUAGUGAAGUAUGUUAUUUAAUUCGAUGAUCCUCGAAAAACCUUACCACAAUUUGAAUAUUAUCUAUUUAGAUAUUACAAGCGUUGCACGGCUGUCUUCAGUUAAUGUCGUGAGAUUUUGGUUAGAUCCAUUAAAUUAACGUAAGC